rnacentral:rRNA from 1 species
UUGUGGCCUUUAGACAUACUACCAACGGCGGCGCGAGCGUAAGCCUCUUGGAACAGAGCGUCUACGUGGGUGAGAAUCCUGUGUUUCGCUUGAUGCCCGCCGUGCACGGUACUUGCUCUCAGAGUCACGCUCCUCGGAAUUGGAGCGUAAAUUGGGUGGUAAAUUUCAUCUAAAGCUAAAUACAGGCUCGAGACCGAUAGCAAACAAGUACCAUGAGGGAAAGAUGAAAAGGACUUUGAAAAGAGAGUUAAAAGUGCUUGAAAUCGCUGAACUGGAAGCGAAUGGAACUAGUGCUCUGGUUGAGAUUGCUGUAAAUGGCUGCGACAUCUGGGCUCUGGAACGCAAGUCCUUUGUCUGGCUUGAAGUAGUCGCUUGCAAUGUGUCUCAGCUUGAACAUCAACUUCUAUGCAUACGUGAGGAUGGCCCUUGGCUCAUGCUGUGUUGCUGUGGCGAUACUCUUGUGCUUCUGGGGAUUCAGG